rnacentral:rRNA from 1 species
AAUGAACGCUGGCGGCGUGCCUAACACAUGCAAGUCGAACGAGAAAUUCCCUGCUUGCAGGGGAAAGUAAAGUGGCGCACGGGUGAGUAACGCGUGAGUAACCUGCCCUUAAAUCUGGGAUAACAUCGCGAAAGCGACGCUAAUACCGGAUAUUGUCUUUUAAACCUCGGUUUUUUAGAUGAAAGGUGACCUCUUCACGAAAGUUGUCGUUUAAGGAGGGGCUCGCGUACCAUUAGCUAGUUGGUGGGGUAAUGGCCUACCAAGGCGACGAUGGUUAGCUGGUCUGAGAGGAUGACCAGCCACACUGGGACUGAAACGCGGUCCAGACUCCUACGGGAGGCAGCAGUGAGGAAUUUUGCGCAAUGGGGGAAACCCUGACGCAGCAACGCCGCGUGAGUGAAGAGGGCCUUCGGGUCGUAAAGCUCUGUCAAGUGGAAAAAACGAUUUGCGGUACACAGCCGUGAAUUUUGAUGGUACCACUAGAGGAAGCACCGGCUAACUCCGUGCCAGCAGCCGCCGUAAAAC